AGAGGAGGGAACACUUCUGCUGCAUUGGCCGCGAAAUAGGCGUCAUCGAGGGCAUGGCCAGAGCACCCUCUAGAGCCUUCUAGCUGAUGACCUGUGUGACAAGUGUCCCAGAUGUCUGCACUAGGGAAACUUUGUCUCCCCUCCGAAAACAACAGGCUUCUUCCUCCUCGAAGAUGAUUGGAGCACAUCACUGCAGCCAUCCAUUCAGGGCCAGCCCACAGAGAGACACCAGGAGGCCACUGUUUCCUGCUCUAGCUCAUCUGGCUCCAGGAACAGCAGCAAUGAAGCCCUCUGCCUCCAGCACAGA
rnacentral:lncRNA from 1 species